CGACCCUCAAGCACAGCUUGGUGUUGGACGGCUUGGUCGUGGAAAUCCCGACCCCUCCUAAAGACAAUGACGGCGGCCUGUGGCACCCCCGGUACACUGAGCUUUUUACUGAGCACGUAUCGGACAAGGGUGCCCGGGACACGGUCCUCUCCUUUCACUAGGAAACUUUUCUUA
rnacentral:misc_RNA from 1 species